rnacentral:rRNA from 1 species
UAAAUAGACAGGCCGGCUUUGGCUGGUCGCCGUCUUCUUAGAGGGACUGUCAGUGUCUAACUGACGGAAGUUUGAGGCAAUAACAGGUCUGUGAUGCCCUUAGAUGUU